AUUGAACGCUGGCGGCAGGCUUAACACAUGCAAGUCGAACGAGUGGCGGACGGGUGAGUAAUGCUUGGGAAUCUAGCUGAUGGAGGGGGAUAACUACGGGAAACUGUAGCUAAUACCGCGUACCAUAGGAUGAGCCCAGGUGGGAUUAGGUAGUUGGUGGGGUAAAGGCUCACCAAGCCGACGAUCUCUAGCUGGUCUGAGAGGAUGACCGGCCACACUGGGACUGAGACACGGCCCAGACUCCUACGGGAGGCAGCAGUGGGGAGUAUUGCGCAAUGGGCGCAACCCUGACGCAGCCAUGCCGCGGGAAUGAAGAAGGGCUUCGGGUUGUAAAGUACUUUCAGUCGGGAGGCGUUACCGACAGAAGAAGCACCGGCUAACUCCGUGCCAGCCGCCGCGGUAAUAC
rnacentral:rRNA from 1 species